CUUUACUGUAACCUGGAAUUGGGUUCGGGCUUUGCUUGCGCAGGAUAGGUGGGAGACUAUGAAGCUGCCCUUGUGGGGGCAGUGGAGUCAUCAGUGUGAUACCACUCUGUCAAGGCUAGAAUUCUAACCGUCUGCCGUUAUCCGGCGACGGAACAGUAUCAGGUGGGCAGUUUGACUGGGGCGGUCGCCGCCUAAAUGGUAACGGAGGCGCGCAAAGGUUCCCUCAGGCUGGUUGGAAAUCAGCCGAAGAGUGUAAAGGCAGAAGGGAGCUUGACUGCAAGAGCAACAACUCAAGCAGGGACGAAAGUCGGCCUUAGUGAUCCGACGGCGCUGAGUGGAAGGGCCGUCGCUCAACGGAUAAAAGUUA
rnacentral:rRNA from 1 species